rnacentral:rRNA from 1 species
AUGAACGCUGGCGGCGUGCCUAAUACAUGCAAGUCGAGCGAACAGACGAGGAGCUUGCUCCUCUGACGUUAGCGGCGGACGGGUGAGUAACACGUGGAUAACCUACCUAUAAGACUGGGAUAACUUCGGGAAACCGGAGCUAAUACCGGAUAAUAUAUUGAACCGCGUGGUUCAAUAGUGAAAGACGGUUUUGCUGUCACUUAUAGAUGGAUCCGCGCCGCAUUAGCUAGUUGGUAAGGUAACGGCUUACCAAGGCAACGAUGCGUAGCCGACCUGAGAGGGUGAUCGGCCACACUGGAACUGAGACACGGUCCAGACUCCUACGGGAGGCAGCAGUAGGGAAUCUUCCGCAAUGGGCGAAAGCCUGACGGAGCAACGCCGCGUGAGUGAUGAAGGUCUUCGGAUCGUAAAACUCUGUUAUUAGGGAAGAACAAAUGUGUAAGUAACUAUGCACGUCUUGACGAUACCUAAUCAGAAAGCCACGGCUAACUACGUG